rnacentral:misc_RNA from 1 species
UUUUUUUUUUUUUUUUUAAUUUGGAUAGAUAGUGUUGGUAUUGUAGCAUGGCCAUCCGAAAGUCUAUUAAAAUCUCAUUAAUUGAUUAACUUAUGCAUUGCAUUAGAUAAAUCUUAUCAAAGGAGAAUAUGAUAAUCUUUACUAUGUACCUAAGAAAAGGGGGGAAUGACAUUAAAAAUUGAGCGACUUAAAAGGACAAAAAAAAGUCUAUUACAGGAGCCAUUUUAUUCAUUAGCAUGUAUCAAUUGCUACAUCUUUUUACAUCACAUUAAAUAACAAGAUACAGAUACAAGGCAAAUGAAAUAAUACAUCUUGAGAGACCGCAAUAAACAUGCAACGAAACCAUUUGGUGUUGGCACAUGAAAGGCUUUUAGAUUGCACACCAUUGUCAUUCUUCUCCUGGUUCUUCCUCUUCUUGGAGAAGAUUUUCCCUAUUAUCAUGAGCCCAGAAGCCACGCACAUCAAUAAGCAUACUGGCUACAGUCCCUCCCUGUUUACAAGAUAGCAGAUCCGUCAGUGUGAUCCUGAGUGAGUCCGUUGGCUUAACCAUAUCCCAAAUUUCAUCCCUAACAUCCUCGAUGCAUAAUUCAUAGUUUCCACCCUCAAUCCAUUUCUGGUGCACAUCUCUGUUGAGCAGGGAGAAGAAAUCAUUAGGCAGACAUUAUUACAAGGGGAUAUGUAAAAUCACAUAGCAAUAAUGGCUACUAUUAAUUUUAAUCUGAGUCUAAUAUAUCUCUGAAGAUUUGAGACUUGCAGAACUUGCUCAAGUAUUACAAGCAGGAAACUUCAGAGUUUUCUCUAGGAAGAUUGUAUCAGGUAGCAUCUCAGCUUUCGGAUGCUCCCCUUCUUUACUUCCAUAGCAGUUUUAACCUUUCUUGGUAGACCAAAAUGAGAAGGUAAGUUUUCGUAAAUUUGCUCUUAGCAAAUAAAGCAAAUAAGAAAAUUUUGUAACACAGGCAUCAAGACAAAUAAAUGGUGCAAACCUGAAAAGAGAGUGAAUAUCAGCUGUUGUUAGGUAUCCCCGACCAUGAAGAUCAAGACAACGAAAUAAAUAUGUUAAACCUUCUGGAGUAUCUUUGUUUUCUAAGGCCAGAAGAAAGUCCAGAAAACUUUCAAAAUCCAUCUCCCGUGCAUGUCCUCCUCCACUUUUGCCACGACGAACAUGCUCAUCAAACACUCUUUCAAUAAAAAUUUCAGUAAGUGUCCCGUCAGCAUAUUCUUGAAGCUCUUGCUUGCUCAAUGUUCCAUUCAUAUCUUUAUCAAGGGCAAGAAACAUAUCUAAAGAAAAUGACGAUUACUUAGAUAGACAUAGAGAGAGACUAAAAAACAAAAACCAGUGACAUGAAUUAAAUAUUAGACGUCACCUUAAAAUGAGGGUAAACUGUAAAAGCACGACAGUAUGUAAAGGGAAAAAAUUUUGAAGCCCUCACCACAUAUGCGUUGUGCAGAUGUCAAAGAAAACCAAUUUUCAGCUUGUUCAGUGUCAGUGACUUCUUCCUCACUUUCCUGGUGCAAUUCCAUUAGUUCCUGAAGACAAUUACUAAGGAGCACCUUCUUUAUGCAGGCCUUCCCUCGCCUAUGAGGAUCACAGAAGAAGAAGAAUUUGUGUGCAGCUAUGCGACAGUACAUCUGAACAAAUUGUGCAGGCAUAUCACGUAGUUGUGCUAAAUUAGGAAUAAGACCUUGUAUAUAAGCCUCCAUUUCAUGAGGCUGGAGGAAACCAUCUGAAUCCUCAUCAAGUUCACUCAUAUCUAUUCUGGCCUGGGUAAGUGAAACUGUGCGCAUCACAUAAAGGUAAAAGGGCAAAAUGGCAAUUCUUCCAGAUUCAUCUUUCUCAAACUUCAUGAAAUUAGAAGGGCUAAAAAACCGUCGACAUUUGGGGCCUAUUUGUUCUGUACAUACUGAGGCUAUGUGGCAAAAAUCUUCAUAAUUCAUCUUUUCUGCACCAGUAGCAUCAUCAAUAACACAGUUUUCUCUCAAGCAAACCCACAUUGCAUCCAGGUCAUCAGCAUUAAGCAAAAGAUCUGAUUGCUUAUUUAAAAACCGAUAUUUUGCCAAUCUUUGGACCCUGUGACUGAUUGAUCCUUCUUCAGGUUUCUUCUUAUAAAAACUUGGUAUUGUGCCAGCUUCAGCACUUUUUUGUUGCUUCUCUUUGAAAAUAUCAAGCAAUAUCCUCUUUGUCUCGAGCUCCAUUAGGGCUUCGGAUCCCAGACCAGCACCGGAUCCGAUGUACCGGCGGAGAUUGCGAACCCAAGGCAUGGAAGAGGCCGGCGGGAUCUUCCUCUGCGCGGCCUCGUGGCUCUCGCCAUCGCUCGACCCACUGUACAUAGCUAAGUCCACAAAUUCGAUUUAACAGAGUCGAAUCAAGCGAGUUCAGACUUCAAAGUUCGAUUACAGCUUCGAAUCGGAGACUAAAAAACCUAGAACUAGGGGCAUUUCUGAGUGAAAAGCCAAAACCCUUUGAUCUACGAGCUUCUGUGAAAAAUGGGGAAAUUUUUACAAAAAGCGUUUUUGCUGUGUCCUGUAACGACUGUUGCCUAAAUUUCAGUUACCUUCCCAAGGUUUUCUAAAUUCGAAUUAGACCAAGUAACUUUAUAGAAAUAAUGGUUAGCUCCCCAACCUCUUAUAAGACUUGCAAUGGGAGGGGAUAUUACUACUGAAAAUUGUUGCUGAGAAGAUUAUAUUUUUAAAUAUAUAAAUUGAAAAUAUUAAAAAUAAUUUAAAAUUAAAUUUAAUAAAUUUUAAUUAUAAAAAUAAUAAAAUUAUUUUUUUAAUAACAUAUAAAAUAAUAUUUUUAUUAAAAAAAUAAUUUUAGAUCUCUAAACAAUGUUAAAUAGAUACUUAGUGUUUCAAACGUGGCAAAAUUUUGACCACACCGUAGUGUGGAAGGGGCAUCGAUAUGGUUGGUACGCAGUGAUGGUUACAUUGUCUAAAGUUGAGGUUUUGAAUGCCCAGCUCACAGCCAUCCAAUUCUUUUUGUGAGCCUUUUUCAUCACCUAAAGAAAUCAAAGGGUCUUAAGAUUAUAAAAUCGAAUCUCCACCCGACAUAUGGGGCCGGGUUCCUUGCGGUCCAGGGUUGGUGGGGAUCGGUGGUGAGAGAUGCCUGUUUCGUACCGUUUCGGUGAAGGUGGUUGAAGUGAGGGGAACAAAAAAAUAAAGAUAGACUUUAUUUUUUAUCUAAUUUUUCUGGUGGAAGUACGUGUAUAUAUUAUAUUGAUUCGGUUGUUAUGUAUUAUGGUGAAAAUUAAAGGUCUGUUUAUGGCUUUACAACCG